rnacentral:rRNA from 1 species
UGGGGAAUCUUGCGCAAUGGGCGAAAGCCUGACGCAGCGACGCCGCGUGAGGGAAGAAGGCCUUCGGGUUGUAAACCUCUUUCAGGAGGGACGAAGCCACUCGGGUGAAUAGCCCAGAGGGUGACGGUACCUCCAGAAGAAGCCCCGGCUAACUACGUGCCAGCAGCCGCGGUAAUACGUAGGGGGCAAGCGUUGUCCGGAUUUAUUGGGCGUAAAGAGCGUGUAGGCGGCUUCACAGGUCCGCUGUAAAAACUCGAGGCUCAACCUCGAGCUGUCGGUGGAAACCGUGUGGCUAGAGUCCGGAAGAGGAGAGUGGAAUUCCCGGUGUAGCGGUGAAAUGCGCAGAUAUCGGGAAGAACACCCGUGGCGAAGGCGGCUCUCUGGGACGGUACUGACGCUGAGACGCGAAAGCGUGGGGAGCGAACAGGAUUAGAUACCCUGGUAGUCCACGCCGUAAACGAUGGGUGCUAGGUGUGGGGGGUGUCGACUCCCUCCGUGCCGAAGCUAACGCAUUAAG